rnacentral:piRNA from 1 species
UGAUGGUCGGCAGCGGUAAACCUGAAG